rnacentral:rRNA from 1 species
UACGUAGGGUGCAAGCGUUGUCCGGAAUUAUUGGGCGUAAAGAGCUCGUAGGCGGUCUGUCGCGUCGAAUGUGAAAACCCGGGACUCAACUCCGGGCCUGCAUUCGAUACGGGCUGGCUAGAGUGUGGUAGGGGAGAUCGGAAUUCCUGGUGUAGCGGUGAAAUGCGCAGAUAUCAGGAGGAACACCAAUGGCGAAGGCAGAUCUCUGGGCCGUAACUGACGCUGAGGAGCGAAAGCAUGGGGAGCGAACAGG